UACGUAGGGUGCAAGCGUUGUCCGGAAUUAUUGGGCGUAAAGCGCGUGUAGGCGGCCAAGUAGGUCUGCUGUGAAAACUCGAGCUCAACUUCGAGAUGUCGGCGGAAACCAUUAGGCUAGAGUCCGGAAGAGGAGAGUGGAAUUCCUGGUGUAGCGGUGAAAUGCGCAGAUAUCAGGAGGAACACCGUAGGCGAAGGCAGG
rnacentral:rRNA from 1 species